rnacentral:rRNA from 1 species
AUUGAACGCUGGCGGCAUGCCUUACACAUGCAAGUCGAACGGCAGCACGGGUGCUUGCACCUGGUGGCGAGUGGCGAACGGGUGAGUAAUAUAUCGGAACGUACCUUAUUGUGGGGGAUAACGCAGCGAAAGCUGUGCUAAUACCGCAUAAUCCCUAAGGGGGAAAGCGGGGGACCGUAAGGCCUCGCGCAAUUAGAGCGGCCGAUACCUGAUUAGCUAGUUGGUGAGGUAAAGGCUCACCAAGGCAACGAUCAGUAGCUGGUCUGAGAGGACGAUCAGCCACACUGGGACUGAGACACGGCCCAGACUCCUACGGGAGGCAGCAGUGGGGAAUUUUGGACAAUGGGGGCAACCCUGAUCCAGCAAUGCCGCGUGAGUGAAGAAGGCCUUCGGGUUGUAAAGCUCUUUUGUCAGGGAAGAAACAGCAGCUCUAACACAGUUUGCGAAUGACGGUACCUGAAGAAUAAGCACCGGCUAACUACGUGCCAGCCGCCGCUGUAA